rnacentral:rRNA from 1 species
AAGCACCUACGGGGGGCAGCAGUGGGGAAUAUUGCACAAUGGGGGAAACCCUGAUGCAGCGACGCCGCGUGAGUGAGGAAGUAUUUCGGUAUGUAAAGCUCUAUCAGCAGGGAAGAAAAAAUGACGGUACCUGACUAAGAAGCACCGGCUAAAUACGUGCCAGCAGCCGCGGUAAUACGUAUGGUGCAAGCGUUAUCCGGAUUUACUGGGUGUAAAGGGAGCGCAGGCGGGACGGCAAGUCUGAUGUGAAAGCUCGGGGCUCAACCCCGGUACUGCAUUGGAAAAUAC